GCAUGCGGUAUCCUCGAAUUGAUUUUUUUUUUUUUUUUUUAACUUGAAGAAAUGACUGUCAUCUUCAGAAGGGCCAGAUUAUUUAUCAUCAGACGGAUCAGAUCAAUAAUCAGAUGCGCUGUUUCUUUUGCUGUCAUCAGGACUCCAAAUCACAGCUUGUGCUCUUUGCCAUCAUGAAGUCUUGGAGAUUAUGGCCAGUAAUUAGCUCUGGACUGUGUCUGGUAAUAAAAUUUCGAGUUCAAUCAGUAAUAGCAAAUACAUUUGUGAUAUUUUUGCUUGUACAAUUGGAGCUUUGAGCUGAAACAGACAGAAGGACCAACUGUCCUUGCUUUGCAAUCAGAACCAUUAGAAGAUGGAACAGAACUUAUUGACAGUGCAUAACGUCCUAUUGCAGUCUGCUAUGUAUCUUGAUAGCCAUUGGAUUCAAAAAAGCUCGUUUCAGUUGUCCACAUUCAUUAGUCUGCUAUGUAUCUUGAUAAAUGUCAUGGUAAAAUAUUAUAUGCUUUCUCUUUUUAA